rnacentral:rRNA from 1 species
UACGGAGGAUGCAAGCGUUAUCCGGAAUGAUUGGGCGUAAAGCGUCCGCAGGUGGCUGUGUAAGUCUGCUGUUAAAGAGUCUAGCUCAACAAGAUACAAGCAGUGGAAACUACACGGCUAGAGUACGUUCGGGGCAGGGGGAAUUCCUGGUGUAGCGGUGAAAUGCGUAGAGAUCAGGAAGAACACCGGUGGCGAAGGCGCUCUGCUAGGCCGUAACUGACACUGAGGGACGAAAGCUAGGGGAGCGAAUGGG